AGAGUUUGAUCCUGGCUCAGAACGAACGCUGGCGGCGUGGAUAAGACAUGCAAGUCGUGCGACAGACCAGGAAUUGAUUACUUCGGUUUGAUUUUCCUGACGAUGAGCGGCGAACGGGUGCGUAACACGUGAGAAAUCUGCCCUUAAGUUCGGAAUAGCCCUACGAAAGUAGAAUUAAUACCGGAUGUGGCCCAGGGAGGGCAUCUUCCCCUGGCUAAAGCUUGACCAGCAAUGGUUAGAGCGCUUUUGGAUGAUCUCGCGGUCUAUCAGCUUGUUGGUGAGGUAAUGGCUCACCAAGGCUUUGACGGAUAGCUGGUCUGAGAGGAUGAUCAGCCUCACUGGAACUGAGACACGGUCCAGACACCUACGGGUGGCAGCAGUCGAGAAUCAUUCACAAUGGGCGCAAGCCUGAUGGUGCGACGCCGCGUGGGGGAAGAAGGGCUUCGGUUCGUAAACCCCUGUCAUCUGUGAGUAAGACUCCCAAUAAAAGCUUGGGAGGUUGAUAUUAGCAGAAGAGGAAGGGACGGCUAACUCUGUGCCAGCAGCCGCGGUAAUACAGAGGUCCCAAGCGUUGUUCGGAUUUACUGGGCGUAAAGAGUGCGUAGGCGGCUAGAAAAGUUUGGUGUGAAAUCUUCGGGCUUAACCCGGAAACUGCACUGAAAACUAUCUGGCUAGAGGAUCGGAGAGGAGAUUGGAAUUCUC
rnacentral:rRNA from 1 species